ensembl:lncRNA
AAACAAGCCUUAAUGUGCUUACUGAUUUUGCAACUAAGUUCCUCCUUUUCAUAGAAGAUGUUUAAAUGUCUGUGAGCAUUACCCACAUCUGAGUUACAUUCUCUUUUUUCUUCUUUCUUCCUUUCUUUUUCUACUUUUGAGCUUCAGUUUGAAGUCUUGGUUUGGUUAACCUGCUGUAAUUUCUGUAUAUUCUAAUUUAGUGGUUUUCUGGCAAUGAUAUACAUAUAGACUAGUGUAGCAUUGUUACCAAUAGCUUUCAUAUAUUUGUUUUUAACAUGAUUUAAACUCUUGAUUUUUGAAGGCUUUGUGAUCAACGGCUAGAACAAUUGACAUUUUUUAUAAACUGCUGGUAAACUUUGAGAGCUUAUGCUCAGCUAUUAUUUGGAUAUCAAUUAUAGCUCCUAUUAACAUGAGCCCACAAAUCUCCUUUUCAUAGCAGAUGUAUAACUGUUUACAGGAAGACAACAGGAAGAAUGAUUGUGUGGGGGUGUGAAUUUCCAGGUUGCAUGACUACUGCACUGAAAGCGGAACUUUCAGGUUCUUGCUGCAAAAAGAAAUGCCAAACAGCAGCCUAACCAUUUCUGCCAGCAACAGUGAUACAUAGGUGAUAGUUUCACUUACACAAUACGACCAUGGGUGAAAAUACCACUUGCCCUGUCGAGGGUUGCGUCCCUGACAGCCGCCCGUCACUUGGACUUGCUGUUGGUUUGCCUAUAUUCUUUUUGGCUUUGCUGCUGGUGGGGAUAGGAGUGUUUUUCUGGUUUCGACACAGAAAAUCGGUUGCAACUGAGUUAUCUAACAAACUUAAGAGCCAAGAUAAGAGCCAAGAUGGUCAUUCCAGGGAGUCUCCGUACAGUGAAUACACUGGAGGACUUCAACCCACACCACAGAGCCCAAUCUAUGAGAACUUUCAUAGUGGACAGUCCAAUCUGCAUGAAUUUCAGCGUUGUGCUGUACAGAGCGAGGACACGCACAGAGACCAUCAAGCAUACCUGCAGUGUGAUCCACAUGAUGCAAUCUACAGCAAUGAUCCUGCCCUCUUCUAUCCAGAUCAGGCUGAAAUCUCUGAGGAUGUUUACAUCAUGCCAGAUGCUUGAAAGUCUGAAAUGGUUUGCUGUCCAGUAUUAAUCCCCAAAAUGUUCAGUAGAAUCAUUUGUACUGACAUGAUAUGAAAUAAUAAUAAGUCUUUAUUUUCAAAGGGUAAAAUCAAGUGCAAAACAUUCUGGCCGAGAAAAAGUUUUGACUUGAGCGAUUCAAAUGCCUUAACAAACAGUACACAGACAAGCCAAUGUAAUUUAUUGACUGAACACACUGUGAGACUGCAAAACAUAAUCAUGACCUCAUUGAUCACAGUUUAACAGGUGUUCUUGCCGACUGCAAAUAAUCCCCACUGAAAAGACCAGCCUAGACCAGAGUGAAUGUUCAAUGCUGUACAGAGUGGUUUAUACUGGUUAGGUGGACCAACAUGCUAAGUUCUAGUAGAGAUACUGGUCAAUAUGCUUGACUUUCAUAUGUUUUAAUAUUAAAAAGGUUUCCUGAAUUAAGUUGUUAACUGUUUGUACAUUAUUGUUCAAAAGUUUGUGGUCAGUAAGAUUUUAUUUGAAGAAGUAAAUAAAGUGACAUGACAUACAGCCA